UGAGAUCUUCGUAGAUGACCUUAAAAUUUAUUUUAUUUAUUUUAUUAUUUAUUUAUUUAUUUAUUAAUCAGUACGGAUUUACCACUUACACUAAUUAACAUUUCAAUUAAGUCACAUUAAUUAACAUUCCAAAAAAAAAACUAAAAGUACAAUAACAAGUAAGAUUAAUUGAUCAUAAUAAUAUGCAUAAAAACAAACCAAAGAAAAAACAAAAAAAAAAUU